CACCUUUCUUCAGUUAUUCAAUAAAGUUCCCCAAAUGCUUGACCAUCUCACAAUUAGCGUCAGCUCUAGAAUCGGGUAUUACUAAUUAGAAACACACAAGCCUGAGAGACAGACAACUUAGAUUCUACUCCGUGCUCUGCUACUGAAUGGUUUUGUGGCUGUAGGUGUGUUGAUUGACUUCCCUGGGCCUCAGGUUUUUCACUGUACAAAGAGGGCUUAGUGAUACCUUCUAGCACUGGACAGACGAUGGUACCAAAUGUGGCCCAUUUAAGAAGUUAUUUCACUGAACCUCUAACUGGACGGGCCUUUCCUCAAAGAAGUGACAAGAGGCUUUCCAUGCGGGAAGACAAGAGAAGCUUCCGCUCGGUCUACCAAGGAGCUAACCAGAGGCUAACCAGCAGCUCUCAGGCCACUGCCUGCUGAGCUACACUCCUCCGCCCGUCCCGUGGUCCCCUUUGGCCCUCUUCUGCUCACACUGAGCUGAAAACCGCAGCCCAGCGAGGAGAUAAGGAAAACCACAAGAGAGAAAUGGAAAUGGGCUCCUCUGAAACAAAAAGCACCCACAAGGGUGCUCCUCAGGCGGCUGGGCCUCGCUCAUAAACAGGAAGGGUCAGCUCGGUGGCAGUUCGAGUCGGGGUUUCGAGUUAAGGGGAGGUUUUAUUUCCCCGGCGGCAACUAUUUUAACGAAACAUGCCGUAGGAACAGCAACCAGCGAGCCCUCAUUAAGCAAGGGGGGAAGGGCGAGGGUGUUCUGAGACAGCGCCUCGGGCGGCCACGUGCCACGGCAGAGGGACUUUGGAUAGUUUUUAAGGACUCAAAGGCCCAUGUCCUAGAAAGCCCUUCUGUCCCAGGCAAUGGAACAGUUGUUCACCCUUGGACUGUUUUCAGUGCCACAAGAUGGGAGGAUGAACAGAAUGGCAAAUGAAGAUUCUUACUGUGUAGAGGGCACAAAGGAACAAAAAUUGUCAUUUGAGAAUUUCUUCUGUCUGUGAAUAAUUAAUGAUGAGAUAACUGAACACAGAACAAAAGUUACAGACAUCCAAACUUCUUACUUCUAUGUGGAAACCUGGUGCAAUGAUUAUGAUUUCACUAAGAGAAGACUGUUGAGAUUCCCAAAAGGAUGCGAUUCCAAGUAACUUUGAGGAAUCCAGUAUGACGUUGCUUUGUUGCCGGAUGAAGUCUAUUUUAAACAGUAAAGUAAGCUGAUUGCAAUGUAAAGAAUCUCUCUACCCAUAAAAAAGAUCUCUAGGCAGUUCAAACAUCGUCAAGAUCAGGGAACAUGAUUCAGGUUCUUACAUGGGUAAGGCACUCUGGGAGGUACGUGGCUUGCAAAAAUUUACGUAUAGCUCUGCCUUUUUGGUUCUCAUGACUAACUAGACUAAUUUGCCAUGAGGGCAGAGACUGUUUUUAUUUAUGUUGUUUUUUAUUACAUUUAUAUUUGCUUAUUCCCUCAAUACUUACAACCAUGCCUGACAUAUAAUAGGUGCUAAGUAAAUAUAUAUUGAACAUCUGAAUCAACAACCAUGAAAACAGUUGGAGAGAAAAAGAGAUGUUAAAUGAAAAAAGGAAAGCUCUAUUUUGUAGCAUAGCUUUUUUUUUUAACGCCUACAAAUUAUAUUAACCAAU